rnacentral:rRNA from 1 species
CCUACGGGUGGCUGCAGUGGGGAAUAUUGGACAAUGGGGGCAACCCUGAUCCAGCCAUGCCGCGUGUGUGAAGAAGGCCCUCGGGUUGUAAAGCACUUUCAGUGAGGAAGAACGCCUGGUGGUUAAUACCCAUCAGGAAAGACAUCACUCACAGAAGAAGCACCGGCUAACUCCGUGCCAGCAGCCGCGGUAAUACGGAGGGUGCGAGCGUUAAUCGGAAUUACUGGGCGUAAAGCGCGCGUAGGUGGCUUGAUAAGCCGGUUGUGAAAGCCCCGGGCUCAACCUGGGAACGGCAUCCGGAACUGUCAAUCUAGAGUGCAGGAGAGGAAGGUAGAAUUCCCGGUGUAGCGGUGAAAUGCGUAGAGAUCGGGAGGAAUACCAGUGGCGAAGGCGGCCUUCUGGACUGACACUGACACUGAGGUGCGAAAGCGUGGGUAGCAAACAGGAUUAGAUACCCCAGUAGUC